AUACAUUAGUUAAAGUUCAGUUUCAAAAAAGAACACAAAUACAAAAGUUUCAUUUUUAAACUAAUAAUGUUUUAUGGAUCAGGUAACAGUAUUCAGCCGUCGAACUUCACGAUGUGUUUAAAGGGAACAUUUGAUCCCCAAGCGGAAAACUCCCUCCAGUGCCGUGGUGGGGAUGACAACCGAGUGCAGAACGAGGGAGUCUGGGAGUCUUGUCGUGUGCUUGGUGUCGUACGGGAAUUCACUGCAUAUAUACGCAGCACUUGCGACCGAUGGUUUCUACGUAUCCAUCAUUACUUUCAAAAUGGACAAAUAAGAAGCUCACGUCUUCGAUAUUUCUUUGAAAGUGAAUGUGUUCAUCAGGAGGAACUUCCCAGCUGUCACGUGGAUCGUCAAGUCUCCACGGUUAAUUGUUAGUGUCAGAUCGCUUGCCACGUGCUCGAGGUUGAUACUAGGACGUGAUACUAGAAGUGUAGAUGGCUUACGCUAUGCUUGGUUCGAGAUCCAGAGGAUGAGACUCGACAGCAUCGGCUGCAUAGACGUAAAGGCACCAUACUAUGAGCAACGUCAACAUCAGGGCGAAACAUUCAAGGUAUUUUACAUCAGCUAAUGAAAACGAAAACAGAGGAAAGGAUGUAGAAAUGGGAUAUUUUUACCUGCGACGCAAAUCAGCAAGGCGGUCAUCAAUAGUUGUACCAAUAUGAUUAUACUGAGGAUUUGUUCGAGAUUGUUGGCCAGUAUGAAGGCUGAUAGUGUCGUUCCACGAAAAGUCGGAGUUCUUUCUAACAGCCAAACUUCUCGAACUUGAUGGACUUAAUAAAAUUCGUCUUGAUAAUCUCGAAUUGAUCACAGAGAUGCAUCAUUAAGCCAAAGAGUAAUCCGUCGUUGAUGCAAUGAACGAUUGCAUUGUCGAGAAUGUAUAUCGCUUGCAAUGCCAAUACGCAGAGGUGAUGGAGCAAAGACAGUGGACGCAAACUCGCAGUACGUUGCUAGGAAAUACUUCAAUUUCUCGGGACUAUUUAGAUUUAUUGAUGAGUUCACCGAGUUUUGGAACAUGCGAAGAUAGGUAAGGCACGUCAUAGUAAAAAUGUUGGAAACCGAUUGUUUUACGUGUAAAAGUAAUCUUUAUCUUGAAUUGUCAUAUUUAUUUUAUACAAUGUACUUUUACGUUCGAAAUAUGUAUAUCAAAAUUAUAUAUACUGCCGUAAAUAUGAAUGCGCUAGCUGAUAUUUAAUAUAAAUUGUAUCCUUUUCAUUGCAUUUGUUUUCUAAAUACUUUGUCAGUCAACUCAAUUCUAUUAUAAAUAUCUUACAUAAAACAGUACAGGGUGUGAGACACGAAGUUGAUGAAAAUUUGUUAUAUAUUAAUUUGUUAUAUACUGUUGUUUAUUGGUUAUUUGUUAAUAGAUGUAACGAUUUGGUGUCCUAAUAUUAUUGUAUUUAUAUAGACUGCACAUAAUAUGAACAAAUAAAAAUAUAAAAACA